rnacentral:rRNA from 1 species
UACGUAGGGUGCAAGCGUUGUCCGGAAUUAUUGGGCGUAAAGAGCUCGUAGGCGGUCUGUCGCGUCGGAUGUGAAAAUCCAGGGCUCAACCCUGGACCUGCAUUCGAUACGGGCAGACUAGAGUUCGGUAGGGGAGACUGGAAUUCCUGGUGUAGCGGUGAAAUGCGCAGAUAUCAGGAGGAACACCGGUGGCGAAGGCGGGUCUCUGGGCCGUAACUGACGCUGAGGAGCGAAAGCGUGGGGAGCGAACAGG